AUUGAACGCUGGCGGCAGGCUUUACACAUGCAAGUCGAGCGAGCGGCGGACGGGUGAGUAAUAUAUGGGAACGUGCCCGGUGGAGGGGGAUAACUACUGGAAACGGUGGCUAAUACCGCAUACCAUCAGAUGUGCCCAUAUCGGAUUAGCUAGUAGGUGGGGUAAUGGCUCACCUAGGCGACGAUCCGUAGCUGGUCUGAGAGGAUGACCAGCCACACUGGAACUGAGACACGGUCCAGACUCCUACGGGAGGCAGCAGUGGGGAAUAUUGCACAAUGGGCGCAAGCCUGAUGCAGCCAUGCCGCGUGUAUGAAGAAGGCCUUCGGGUUGUAAAGCACUUUCAGCGGGGAGGCGGUACUCGCAGAAGAAGCACCGGCUAACUACGUGCCAGCCGCCGCGGUAAUUC
rnacentral:rRNA from 1 species